rnacentral:tRNA from 1 species
GAUAUAGCUCAGUGGUAGAGCGCUUGCCUAGCAUGUGGGAGGCACUGGGUUCGAUUCUCAGCAUC